AUGGGAGGGAGAGGGAGGCGCCAGGGCUUAGGUUUCGUUGCCCUCCCUUCCCCCACUAUAUAUAGGGCCAAGGGAGAGGGGGGGCGCAGCCUUGGCCCUUCCUCCAAGGAAGGGUGCGGCCAGGGAGGAGUCCAUCCUCCCCAAGGCACCUCGGAGGUGCCUUCACCUUUAGGACUCUUCCUUUCCUUAUCUCUUGGCGCAUGGGCCUCUUGGGGCUGGUGCCCUUGGCCCAUACAGGCCAAGGCGCACACCCCUACAGCCCAUGUAGAGUUUUUGAAGAAGAAGAAGGAGGAAGCACAUGGGAUAGCAGUACCACGACCCCGUACGUGGAUUCCACCACCAACAGAUUACUACAAACUCAAUGUGGACGCGGCCGUGUCACGCCCAGGUACGUUUGGCGCAGUUGGUGUGGUUUGCAGGGAUGAGAGAGGUUUGUUCAUGGGAGCGUCAGCUCUCGUUUUCAGAGGACUGCACAACCCCCAAGUGCUAGAAGCACUAGCUGUUCGGGAGGCAUUAGCACUUUCAGAAGAUCUCUAUAUCAACCAUUUACUUGUUGCCUCCGAUUGCAAGGUGGUGGUAGAUGCAAUCAGACAGGGAAGCUCAGCAGAAUUUGGAGCCAUUGUCGAGGAAAUCAAGACUAGAGCAACUACCUUUAUUUCAUGUUCGUUUACUCAUGAGUAUAGGACCUCCAAUACGGAGGCCCAUAAUCUCGCAAAGCAUGCGUUAUCUUUAGGGUUUGGCCGACACACUUGGCUAGGACAACCCGGCGAUCUUCUUUUUGUACCUAUGAACAUUAUGAUUCAGUAA
rnacentral:rRNA from 1 species